AUGUAUCAAGAUCUGUAAAUAUAAAAUAUAAAUCUUACCUGCGAUUUGCCUGCCUGCGAAAAGGUUAAUCCACUUGGAACGUUUUCCGUGGUUGUGGACCUGCGUUCCACAUCGAAUGCAUCCUGCCCAACAUCAGCGAUUGCCCAGUUUGUGAAGCAACAACGUUGGCAAAUGUUGAAGCUCUUGGAAGGUCUUCGAAAGACAGCAAAUAUUAACGCUGAUUGCCCCGGCGACUUGCUUUG